rnacentral:lncRNA from 1 species
AGAUUGGAACACAACACCACAGUAAGGAAAGCCCGAUGUUGCCCACAUGCUCCACGGAGAAACCCGCCAGGGGCACGUUGGGACGUUGGGAGUGUGAGCCCUGGAGACAGUGAUGUGGCAGGGAUCCAGGUUCUCCCAGCUGCCGGCCACAGGGCUCUCCCCAGGGGUCCUGAGUUUCCUCAAUGGCAUUCUAAUCCAUGAGUGUUCAGAGAGGGCAGGAGGGCUCCGCUACCCGGCGCCUUCCGACCAGCAUCUGGAAAAGGAUAGUCAGAAACACAGUGAAAAUUACGCCUGCAACCCUGGCAGGCAGGGAAGCACUUAAUAACUUACGUGGGUGUCAGGGCAAGGGAGCCGUCCGCAGACCAGUGUUGUGAUGGACCGUUCUCCACCAUGUGAUGUUCAUUUUCUCCACUGAGAUUAAAAAAGAAGAGGAAAGGAAAGGAAAGUGCGUAACCUUGAAAAGACAGCUCCUCCUGCCGAAAAUGUGUUGCAGACUCGGUCAGUCAGGUGGACUUAAUUGGAAGGCACUUUCUUUUUGAUGGAAAAAGAAGGAGAAAGAU